rnacentral:rRNA from 1 species
GAUGAACGCUGGCGGCGUGCUUAACACAUGCAAGUCGAACGGAAAGGCCCAAGCUUGCUUGGGUACUCGAGUGGCGAACGGGUGAGUAACACGUGGGUGAUCUGCCCUGCACUUCGGGAUAAGCCUGGGAAACUGGGUCUAAUACCGGAUAGGACCACUUCUUGGAUGUUGUGGUGGAAAGUUUUUUCGGUGUGGGAUGAGCUCGCGGCCUAUCAGCUUGUUGGUGGGGUAAUGGCCUACCAAGGCGUCGACGGGUAGCCGGCCUGAGAGGGUGUACGGCCACAUUGGGACUGAGAUACGGCCCAGACUCCGACGGGAGGCAGCAGGGGGGAAUAUUGCACAAUGGGCGCAAGCCUGAUGCAGCGACGCCGCGUGGGGGAGGACGGCCUUCGGGUUGUAAACUCCUUUCGCUAGGGACGAAGCGUUUUGUGACGGUACCUGGAGAAGAAGCACCGGCUAACUACGUG